CCUUUGUACACACCGCCCGUCGCUACUACCGAUCGAAUGGCUCAGUGAGGCUUUCGGACUGACCCAGGGAGGUCGGCAACGACCACCCCGGGACGGGAAGUUAUCCAAACUCGGUCAUUUAGAGG
rnacentral:rRNA from 1 species